UUUUUUCUUGAUAAAUAUAUAUAAGUAAAAACGCCAUAUCGGUUUUAAUCCUCAUUCUUCACGUCCCCUACUCGUGUCCAACUACCGCCGUCGUCGCCCACCCACCGCCGUCGACUGUUGCAGUCUCUUUCGCUCUUCUCUUCCUCUUUCAGUCACUUUCUCUGUCCCACUUAAUUUCAAUCUCUUUUUCUCUUUCACGCAGGUCUCCCAACGCUGCCGUCGACACUAUUUCUCCUCCAGCGGAGACCCGACGAUGAUGUUGCUCCCGCCGCUACGCCACCGACUGCAGCCACCGCUGAUUCUAUUUUUGUUUCGUUGAUUUUAUUGAAGGUAUUGAUUCGUUUUUGCUCAAAUUGAUUUUAGGGUAUCAAAGGGGCUUUUUUCUCAUUUUUUUUCUUUCGAUUUUGGUGGUGGUGUGUUUUUUUAUACAUUGGUUACCAGUCUUAAUUUGUAUUUUGAGUUUUGAAUUUGUG
rnacentral:lncRNA from 1 species